AUCCCAGAUAAGCUGAUCUGAUUUGUGCUUAUCUGAUUCAUGGGAGGCCAAUAAUGACGCCGUGGAAGCUUCGCUGAUAGCGCCAUUUUCUUCUCUAUUCACAGACAAGGCGUUUACUAGUAGCUUUGCCACACACCA